AAAGUGACAGAGACCCCCACUAGCAAACAAUCCAAUACUCUCUCUCUCUCUGGAAAUCCAGAAAGCAACAAACUUUGAAGGCAACUCGGGAGGGUUGAUUCAGUGAGUCAGUGACCGAGUCAUGAGGACCCUGUCGAGUCCGAGUUCGAGGGUGGCGGCAGAGAAGAAGUGGGUCGGCGGAGAAAAUGUCUUUCUCCACAAGCUUGAACCUUGCUUCCUCAGGCCAAAGAGAAGCAGCGAGAAUUUCCGGUUCUUGAAUUUGGUGUGUUUUCUGAAACAGAGCAAGCCCAUCAGACCAGUCAUUUGCCUCUCGUCAAAAACCCAGACAGAAUUGGAGGUUGCAGAUUCUCAAAUGCAGGAAGCAUAUCAUACAAAAACUAUCCAUGUGAAAUUCCAGUUGCAGAAAGAGUGCUCGUUCGGUCAGGAGUUCCUCAUUGUGGGGGAUGAUCCUAUGUUCGGUUUGUGGGAUCCUGCAAGCGCAAUACCGAUGAACUGGUCAGAUGGGAAUGUGUGGACUGUUGAGAUGGAUAUACCAGUUGGGAAAUCGAUUCAGUUCAAGUUCAUACUAAAAGAAAGCACAGGGAAUAUCUCGUGGCAGCCUGGCCCUGAUCGGAUUUUCCAGACCUGGGAAACUAAGAAUGCGAUCACUGUUUGUGAAGACUGGGCAGAUGCUGAGCUUCAGAAAAUAAUAGAGGAAGAUCAUGUUUCAGAUGAAGGCGAUGGUUCCAAUGUUAAUGCAGAUAUGUUGAUUGUGGAUGAGAACCUGACACAGCCGAAUGAUGAACUGGCCUUCAAUAUAACCAAUGAACCUACGAUCACCAGUAGUAACACUGAUCCGGCAGAGAAGCCAUUAGUGGAACCAUGGAAGGAACAAAUUGGUGCCAGAAAUGGUUCUCCUUCACAAGAGAAUGUGACCCCUAAAUGGCCAAAUGCAUACGUGGAACCAUAUGAGGAACAAUUUGCUGCAAGAGCUGCAGUGCUUAAUGAAGAGAGAGUUAUUUUUCCGAGUGAGGAUUGUGCAGCCAUCUCAAGUAAGGAGUUGUUGGUGGCAGACAACAUUUUCGGAAAUAAUGGUGGAGCUGCAACAGUUGAACCUUUCAAGCACUCAAAUCGGGGGAAGUCUAAUUAACUACGAAGAAGGUCCUGUUCUGGUACCUGGGCUGACUCCUUCACCAGCUGUUCCAACUGAAGAAGUGAACAAAGAGGGCAUCGACAAACAGAUGUCUUUUGAUGGUUCGGUUGGAGCCUUUGAAGCUAAGGAUCGUAAUAUGCCAGAGCUAGAAGUGAAGCAAGAACAGUACAGUGACCUACCUCAAGAAGUAACAAAUGUAAUGAUCAACGCUAAUGGGGGGAAUUUUGACGAUGAAAUCAAGCAAACGCCUCACCCUGCAAAUAAGGAAGAACAGUUCCACUCAGAGCCAGUCAAUGAUAAGGUCUUGUGCAGUGACCAACCUCAAGUGGAAACAGCUGCCGCAAUCAAUGAUAACGAAGAGAAUUCUGCUAAAAAGGAGGAACAGUCCGACUCAGAGCCAAUCAACGAGGUCUUUCAGAAUGAUGUGCAAUGGGGUCGUAAGAUGCUGCAGAACCUUCUGUCUAACUUCAGAUUGCUAUAGCAUGCACAUUGCCGAUAACCUGGGAAGAAAUUUAGGGAAUUCAUUUGAGCCCGUAACUCUCCUGCUUUGUUGCUGAUGUUUUCUGGUAGCCUACAAAGAGUAGAGAGAGGCAAUCUUAUAAGCAAACUGUUAUAUGUGCAUAUGAUAUGAACAUAGUUGCUGAGAGAGUAUUGCCACUUUCCUGUGCUGUAAGAGUACUCAGGUUUUUGUUUCUUUUAGUUUGUCAUGUAAAUAUUUGUACCGGAUACAAAGUUCUGUAAAGCUUCCUCACAAUGCUGAUUUUGGUAAGGAUUUGGUACCUUCUUAGAUUCGAAUA